rnacentral:rRNA from 1 species
UACGGGGGGAGCAAGCGUUGUUCGGAUUUACUGGGCGUAAAGGGUGCGUAGGUGGCCGGGAAAGUCUGAUGUGAAAUCUCCGAGCUUAACUUGGAAAUGGCGUUGGAAACUAUCUGGCUUGAGGGCCGGAGGGGAGACUGGAAUUCUCGGUGUAGCAGUGAAAUGCGUAGAUAUGCGGAGGAACACCGAUGGCGAAGGCAAUCCCCUGGGCCUGCACUGACGCUCAUGCACGAAAGCGUGGGGAGCAAACAGG